rnacentral:rRNA from 1 species
CAGUAGCCACGGUAAUACGUAGGUGGCAAGCGUUGUCCGGAAUUAUUGGGCGUAAAGGGCUCGCAGGCGGUUUCUUAAGUCUGAUGUGAAAGCCCCCGGCUCAACCGGGGAGGGUCAUUGGAAACUGGGAAGCUUGAGUGCAGAAGAGGAGAGUGGAAUUCCACGUGUAGCGGUGAAAUGCGUAGAGAUGUGGAGGAACACCAGUGGCGAAGGCGACUCUCUGGUCUGUAACUGACGCUGAGGAGCGAAAGCGUGGGGAGCGAACAGGAUUAGAUACCCCGGUAGUCCCUGUCUCUUAUAC